CUCAGGCUUCUCCCAGCAAUAAAUACAGGUGACCAUGAUUCAGUGAAACCACAACUGAUUUCUCCACCUUAAAUACCCCUCAAAGGGGACAAGAAGGGGGCAAAAGAAGUUUAAUGCCCAUCCCCUAAGAGGUGUAGAAACGUCCUUCUGCCAAGGGACAGAGGAGGUAGAACUGCCCCUCUCAGAACUGCAGCAGCUCUACAAGGAAUCGAGGAGAGGAAAGGGAUAGAAUGAGAGGGAAAAGGAUGUUCUUUAGCAAACUCACUCCUUUGAUCCAUUCAUCCUGUCCCAGGUAAGGGGUGGUCCCAGUGUAUCGGUGGGGCAUAAAAAGGGGAGGGCUGACAGAGUAGAGCCUGGAGGAAGAAAUGAAAGGAGGGAGAGCAAUCUGGUGGGAGGGAAGGGGGUAAAGGGGCCCUAACUCAUUGCCCUCAUCUUCUUCCAAGAAAUGGCAUCAACAUACAAGAGGCAUGAAUGGAUAGAGUCUGGGGGAGUUCAGGGCUCCUAAAUAAGGGAAAGAGAAGGGGCGACAAGGGCCCUGUGGUUUCCUGGUCUUCAUAAA
rnacentral:lncRNA from 1 species